UACGGAGGGGCUAGCGUUGUUCGGAAUUACUGGGCGUAAAGCGCACGUAGGCGGCUUUGUAAGUUAGAGGUGAAAGCCCGGAGCUCAACUCCGGAAUUGCCUUUAAGACUGCAUCGCUUGAAUCAUGGAGAGGUGAGUGGAAUUCCGAGUGUAGAGGUGAAAUUCGUAGAUAUUCGGAAGAACACCAGUGGCGAAGGCGACUCACUGGACAUGUAUUGACGCUGAGGUGCGAAAGCGUGGGGAGCAAACAGG
rnacentral:rRNA from 1 species